rnacentral:misc_RNA from 1 species
AAGUCGUAACAAGGUUUCCGUAGGUGAACCUGCGGAAGGAUCAUUAACACUUUUUAUUAUUUUGUUUUUUUUCUAAAACAAAAUUUAAAACCCCACAAUUUUGGAUGAAUUUAAUUAAUUUAUUUUUUAUUUUAUUUUUUUUUUAUUAUAACCCUAUUAUUUGACUAACAUUUUUAUUUAAUUAUUAAAAAAUUAAAAAAAACAACUCUUAACAACGGAUAUCUUGGCUCUC